AACGUCACGUGAUGUGGGGCGGGGGACUCGUACAGGCCGCUUAAGACGCAGUUUGCGGGGAGGUGUGGAAUUAAAUGGAUGGGGCACGCGGGCCGGCCGGCCCCUCCACCUGCGUUCCAGAACUCGGAGACGGUCCCACCUGCCUGGGUCUGGGUCGGGGGGCGGCGCCAGCAAAGGCGUCUGCAGCCAGGAUGGGGCGGAAGGUGACCGUGGCCACCUGUGCGCUCAACCAGUGGGCCCUGGACUUUGAGGGCAAUUUGCAAAGGAUUUUAAAAAGUAUUGAAAUUGCCAAACACAGAGGAGCAAGAUACAGGCUUGGACCAGAACUGGAAAUCUGGGACACCAUUCAGCCUGCUGUAAGCUCAAGUAAACCGCAAGGAAGUCACGUGGCUGCUGGCUACGGCUGUUGGGAUCAUUAUUAUGAGUCGGACACUCUCCUGCAUUCGCUCCAGGUCCUGGCAGCCCUUUUGGAGUCUCCAGUCACUCAGGAUAUCAUCUGCGACGUGGGGAUGCCCGUGAUGCACCGAAACGUCCGCUAUAACUGCAGGGUGAUAUUCCUCAACAGGAAGAUCCUGCUCAUCAGACCCAAGAUGGCCUUGGCGAAUGAGGGCAACUACCGUGAGCUGCGCUGGUUCACGCCGUGGUCCAGGAGCCGGCAAACAGAGGAGUAUUUUCUCCCCCGGAUGUUACAGGACCUGACGAAGCAGGAAACUGUGCCCUUUGGGGAUGCUGUCCUCUCCACGCGGGACACCUGCAUCGGGAGUGAGAUCUGUGAGGAGCUCUGGACGCCCCACAGCCCGCACGUGGACAUGGGCCUGGACGGCGUGGAGAUCUUCACCAAUGCCUCGGGCAGCCACCACGUGCUGCGCAAAGCCCACGCCCGGGUGGACCUGGUGACUAUGGCGACCAGCAAGAACGGCGGGAUCUACUUGCUGGCCAAUCAGAAGGGCUGUGAUGGGGACCGGCUGUACUACGACGGCUGUGCUCUCAUAGCCAUGAACGGCAGCAUCUUUGCCCAGGGGUCCCAGUUCUCUCUGGAUGAUGUGGAAGUCCUCACUGCCACGUUGGAUUUGGAGGACAUCAGAAGCUACAGGGCCGAGAUUUCAUCUCGAAACCUGGCGGCCAGCAGGGUGAGCCCCUACCCCCGCGUGAAGGUGGAUUUCGCCCUCUCCUGCCACGAGGACCUGCUGGAGCCCGUGUCUGAGCCCAUCGAGUGGAAAUACCACAGUCCCGCCGAGGAGAUCAGCCUGGGACCCGCGUGCUGGCUCUGGGACUUCUUAAGACGCAGCCGACAGGCGGGGUUCUUCCUUCCCCUCAGCGGCGGGGUAGACAGCGCGGCCACCGCCUGCCUGGCCUACUCCAUGUGCCUCCAGGUCUGCGAGGCUGUGAAGCGUGGAAAUCUGGAGGUGCUGGCUGACGUCCGAACCAUUGUGAACCAGCCCAGCUACACCCCUCAGGACCCCCGGGAGCUCUGCGGCCGCGUCCUGACCACCUGCUACAUGGCCAGCGAGAACUCCUCCCAGGAGACCUGCGACAGGGCCCGAGAGCUGGCCCAGCAGAUUGGAAGCCACCACAUCGGCCUCCGCAUCGACCCGGUGGUCAAGGCCCUCGUGGGCCUCUUCAGCCUGGUGACGGGUGCGAGCCCUCGGUUUGCGGUUCACGGAGGGAGCGACCGGGAGAACCUGGCUCUGCAGAACGUCCAGGCGCGGGUCAGGAUGGUCGUCGCCUACCUCUUCGCUCAGCUGAGCCUCUGGUCUCGCGGCGCCCCCGGCGGGCUUCUUGUGCUCGGGUCCACCAACGUGGACGAGAGCCUCCUCGGCUACCUGACCAAGUACGACUGCUCCAGUGCCGACAUCAACCCCAUCGGCGGGAUCAGCAAGACGGACCUGAGAGCCUUUGUCCAGCUCUGUGUGGAGCGCUUCCAGCUUCCCGCCCUGCAGAGGUGCGUGUGCACCCACGAGGCCACGGCUGUGUCCCUGGGCCGCUGGGUACGCGUCUUCUCAGCACAGCCCUGGCCACUCUGCACCCCCUCAGCCACCUUCCGUAGCACCCAUCGCCUGAUGGAAGCUGUCCGGCCUCCAAGGGCACUCGGGCCCCGAGACCAGCGUCCUGGCAGCACCAGCCACAGCUGAGCUGGAGCCCUUGGCCCACGGACGGGUGUCCCAGACCGACGAGGAAGACAUGGGGAUGACGUACAUGGAGCUGUCCGUCUAUGGGAGGCUCCGGAAGAUCGCCAAGACAGGCCCCUACAGCAUGUUCUGCAAACUCCUCGACAUGUGGAAGGGCACCUGCGCGCCCCGACAGGUGGCUGACAAAGUGAAGCGGUUUUUCUCCAAGUAUUCCAUGAACAGACACAAGAUGACCACACUGACCCCCGCGUACCACGCCGAGAGCUACAGCCCAGACGACAACAGGUUCGACCUGCGGCCAUUUCUGUACAACACCCGCUGGCCCUGGCAGUUCCGCUGCAUCGAAAACCAGGUCCUCCAGCUGGAGGGGACACAGCGGCAGGAGCUAGACAGCGUGGACUGAGGCUGGGCCCUGUGCGGAGGGCUCCCCGCCUGCCAGCAACCAAGAGCGGGAGUGGAGCCCUGUCUGACGUAUUUCAAGGAGAGGGAGCCGUACAGUCUAGUUCCAUUUUUAAAAAGGCUGAAAGAAAGGGGAUGCGAUUUUGCUUGAAUUUUUAAUUGAAAUACAUCUUGUCGAUUUACAGUGUUGCGUUCAUUA